AAGACCUUGCACUUUUGGAGCGGCCGAUGUCUGAUUAGCUAGUUGGUGGGGUAAUGGCCUACCAAAGCUUCGAUCAGUAGCUGGUCUGAGAGGACGGCCAGCCACACUGGGACUGAGACACGGCCCAGACUCCUACGGGAGGCAGCAGUGGGGAAUUUUGGACAAUGGGCGCAAGCCUGAUCCAGCCAUGCCGCGUGAGUGAAGAAGGCCUUCGGGUUGUAAAGCUCUUUCAGCCGGGAAGAAAAGGUUGCGACUAAUAAUCGCAAUCCAUGACGGUACCGAAAGAAGAAGCACCGGCUAACUACGUGCCAGCAGCCGCGGUAAUACGUAGGGUGCGAGCGUUAAUCGGAAUUACUGGGCGUAAAGGGUGCGCAGGCGGUUUUGUAAGUCAGAUGUGAAAUCCCCGGGCUUAACCCGGGAACU
rnacentral:rRNA from 1 species